CUUGGUGGAUACACUAAAUCUACUUGAAGAACCUUAUGCUCCUUGUGGGGACUCGGACACCUCCUUACCCAGCAGCCUCCAGGCAGCCUGAGCCAUCCUGGAUGAUGAUUAUGAUCUUCAAGAUUCCUUCCAACCCAAACCAUCUUUGUGAUCCUUGGGCAUACGGAACCAUCAGCUUUGUAAGAAGCAAAGAGGAACCACAGCAGGAUGCUGGAUGCCAACGGUUGUGUGCAUCCAGGAGCUCAGAGGAAUCAGCAAACCUCCUCCAGCAGAGCUACGAAUCCCCAGUCCAGUUCAUUCAGGCGCAGCGGGACCGCCGGGAAUUAAUCCGAGGGGGAAUGCUGUGAAUUCCUGCGCUCUCUUUCUUUGCUGGGCGCAGCUGGUGGCGGGGCCACUGCCAGAUGAAAGCAGGGCUGUCAGCUCCCAGCAGCCUGGCUCCAGCUGCAUUCCAGGGCACGGACUGGCCUCAGCUGGUCCUCGGGUGCCGCUUCCCUCUGCCAGGUUACCAAGCCCUGGGGUCUCGGGGUGCAGGUGAACACUGCUCACCUGUUUACUCCUCUGGAGAGGUGAGGAAUGAUCAGAACAUGCAACUCCUUCUGCACAGUGGAGGAAUUAUUUACUGCAGAUACAGACUGACAAUAAAUUAGUACACCCCCAAGAGUCUGGAAGGAACAGAGGAGGAGCAGUGAGUCACUCCUGAGUCAUAGAGCCUCCCCGGAUUUAUCCUGGGAUGAUGUACUGCACGCACCACUCCUUGAUCUGGUCUGUCUCGAAAGGACAACCCUGAAUAUAAUUGUGGAAAAAUAAAUGCUAGCAGCAAUCAUUCCUUGGCAGCAGCAGACUUUAUUAUGUUUUG